rnacentral:rRNA from 1 species
GUUUGAUUAUGGCUCAGGAUGAACGCUGGCGGCGUGCUUAAUACAUGCAAGUCGAACGAAGAUAUUUCGCUGAGGCGAGCUUGCUCAAAUCUUGAAAUAUCUUAGUGGCGGACGGGUGAGUAACGCGUGGGUAACCUGCCUUACACAGGGGGAUAACAGUUAGAAAUGACUGCUAAUACCGCAUAAGCGCACGGUAUCGCAUGAUACAGUGUGAAAAGAUUUAUCGGUGUAAGAUGGACCCGCGUCUGAUUAGCUAGUUGGUGAGGUAACGGCCCACCAAGGCGACGAUCAGUAGCCGGCCUGAGAGGGUGAACGGCCACAUUGGGACUGAGACACGGCCCAAACUCCUACGGGAGGCAGCAGUAGGGAAUAUUGGACAAUGGGGGCAACCCUGAUCCAAGCGACGCCGCGUGAGUGAAGAAGUAUUUCGGUACGUAAAGCUCUAUCAGCAGGGAAGAAAAUGACGGUACCUGACUAAGAAGCACCGGCUAAAUACGUGCCAGCCGCAGC